AUUGAACGCUGGCGGCAGGCCUAACACAUGCCAGUCGAACGGUAACAGGAAGAAGCUUGCUUCUUUGCUGACGAGUGGCGGACGGGUGAGUAAUGUCUGGGAAACUGCCUGAUGGAGGGGGAUAACUACUGGAAACGGUAGCUAAUACCGCAUAACGUCGCAAGACCAAAGAGGGGGACCUUCGGGCCUCUUGCCAUCGGAUGUGCCCAGAUGGGAUUAGCUAGUAGGUGGGGUAACGGCUCACCUAGGCGACGAUCCUUAGCUGGUCUGAGAGGAUGACCAGCCACACUGGAACUGAGACACGGUCCAGACUCCUACGGGAGGCAGCAGUGGGGAAUAUUGCACAAUGGGCGCAAGCCUGAUGCAGCCAUGCCGCGUGUAUGAAGAAGGCCUUCGGGUUGUAAAGUACUUUCAGCGGGGAGGAAGGGAGUAAAGUUAAUACCUUUGCUCAUUGACGUUACCCGCAGAAGAAGCACCGGCUAACUCCGU
rnacentral:rRNA from 1 species